rnacentral:rRNA from 1 species
CGCGCAGGUGGUUUCGUAAGGUUGAUGUGAAAGCCCACGGUUCAACCGAUGAGGGUCAUUGGUCAAUGGCAGUCUUGUGGGCAGAAGAGGAAAGUGUAAAUACGUGAGAAGCGGUGACAGGCGUAGAGAUAUGGAGAAACACCAGUGGCGAGGGCAGCCACCUGGGCAAACCCUAACGCUCAAGUACGAGAGCGAGGGGCGAAAACGGGAUCAGAAACCCGAGUAGUCC